rnacentral:lncRNA from 1 species
UUUCUCCCCUUGGCUCAGUUUUUGAUGCUGAACCCACCUGUGGCCAAAUCGGAGCCAAACCACCUGUUAAUUGGCCGAAAAAUACCGUCGAAGCCCAGCAGCACCACUACAGAUUUUCUCAAUUUUUUCCUCUGAUGAGGCCCUUCCCGAUUCUCGUUCAAUGUAAUUUUUACACCACUGUGACUACCGUCCUUUCCUUUACAGGUUGACUGGAGCAAAACACCAAACCGCGACUUGCGCCGGAGAAGUCGCCGCACCCGAGAGUUCUGCCACCGGUAAUUCUUGAUUUUCUGGAUUUUUUUAGCCCACCGAGGGCCCUAGGGGUGUUUUAUCACAAGAACCAAUGCAAGUUUGGCCAAAUUCGGCCAAAAAGGGCCAGAAAC